GACGAACGCUGGCGGCAGGCUUAACACAUGCAAGUCGAGCGGGGUGAUGGUGCUUGCACUAUCACUUAGCGGCGGACGGGUGAGUAAUGCUUAGGAAUCUGCCUAUUAGUGGGGGACAACAUCUCGAAAGGGAUGCUAAUACCGCAUACGUCCUACGGGAGAAAGCAGGGGAUCACUUGUGACCUUGCGCUAAUAGAUGAGCCUAAGUCGGAUUAGCUAGUUGGUGGGGUAAAGGCCUACCAAGGCGACGAUCUGUAGCGGGUCUGAGAGGAUGAUCCGCCACACUGGGACUGAGACACGGCCCAGACUCCUACGGGAGGCAGUAGUGGGGAAUAUUGGACAAUGGGGGGAACCCUGAUCCAGCCAUGCCGCGUGUGUGAAGAAGGCCUUAUGGUUGUAAAGCACUUUAAGCGAGGAGGAGGCUCUUUUGGUUAAUACCCAAGAUGAGUGGACGUUACUCGCAGAAUAAGCACCGGCUAACUCUGUGCCAGCAGCCGCGGUAA
rnacentral:rRNA from 1 species